UACGGAGGGGGCAAGCGUUGUUCGGAAUUACUGGGCGUAAAGGGCGCGCAGGCGGCUGCUCAAGUCAGGCGUGAAAGGCCUGGGCUCAACCCGGGAAUUGCGCUUGAGACUGGGCUGGCUUGAGUGCGGGAGAGGAUGGUGGAAUUCCCAGUGUAGAGGUGAAAUUCGUAGAUAUUCGGAAGAACACCAGUGGCGAAGGCGGCUCACUGGCCCGUUACCGACGCUCAGGCGCGACAGCGUGGGGAGCAAACAGG
rnacentral:rRNA from 1 species